GUAGUCAUAUGCUUGUCUCAAAGAUUAAGCCAUGCAUGUCUAAGUAUAAGCAAUUUAUACAGUGAAACUGCGAAUGGCUCAUUAAAUCAGUUAUCGUUUAUUUGAUAUUUCUUACUACAUGGAUAACCGUGGUAAUUCUAGAGCUAAUACAUGCACGAAAGCCCCGACCUCUGGAAGGGGUGUAUUUAUUAGAUAAAAAACCAAUGCCAAUUUAUUGGCUCAGUGGUGAUUCAUAAUAACUUUGCGGAGCGUAUGGCCUUGAGCCGACGCCGUUUCAUUCAAAUUUCUGCCCUAUCAACUUUCGAUGGUAGGAUAGUGGCCUACCAUGGUUUCAACGGGUAACGGGGAAUA
rnacentral:rRNA from 1 species